rnacentral:rRNA from 1 species
GUACGCUGGCGGCACGCCUAACACAUGCAAGUCGAACGAAGUAGCAAUACUUAGUGGCAGACGGGUGAGUAACAUGUAGGUAUCUGCCCUUUGGCCUGGAAUAACACGAGGAAACUUGUGCUAAUACCGGAUAAGUCUUUACGGAGAAAGCUUUAUGCACCAUUGGAUGAGCCUGCACUUGAUUAGUUUGUUGGUGGGGUAAUGGCCUACCAAGACUGUGAUCAAUAGCUGAUUUGAGAGGAUGAUCAGCCACAUUGGGACUGAGACACGGCCCAAACUCCUACGGGAGGCAGCAGUGGGG